rnacentral:rRNA from 1 species
UCCAGACUCCUACGGGAGGCAGCAGUGAGGAAUAUUGGUCAAUGGCCGAGAGGCUGAACCAGCCAAGUCGCGUGAGGGACGACGGCCCUACGGGUUGUAAACCUCUUUUGCCGGGGGACAAACGGCGGCACGCGUGCCGUCCUGAGGGUACCCGGAGAAAAAGCAUCGGCUAACUCCGUGCCAGCAGCCGCGGUAAUACGGAGGAUGCGAGCGUUAUCCGGAUUUAUUGGGUUUAAAGGGUGCGUAGGCGGGAUGCCAAGUCAGCGGUCAAAUACGGGGGCUCAACCUGCGUCCGCCGUUGAAACUGGCGUUCUUGAGUGGGCGAGAAGUACGCGGAAUGCGUGGUGUAGCGGUGAAAUGCAUAGAUAUCGCGCAGAACUCCGAUUGCGAAGGCAGCAUGCCGGCUCCACACUGACGCUGAGGCACGAAAGCGUGGGUAUCGAACAGGAUUAGAUACCCGGGUAUG